GACGAACGCUGGCGGCGUGCUUAACACAUGCAAGUCGAACGGAAAGGCCCGGCUUUUAGGGUUCUCGAGUUGCCAACGGGCGAGUAACACGCGGGUGAUCUGCCCUGCACUUCGGGUUAAGCCUGUGAAACUAGGUCUAAUUCCGGCCAGUAGCCAUAUUGAGCGUGAUGGUUGAAAAGUUUUUUCGGUGUUGGGUGAGCUCGCGGCCUAACAGCUUGUUGGUGUGGUAAUGGGGUACCAAGGCGGCUUCGCGUAGCCGGCCUGUGUGGGUGGCCGGCCACACUGGGACUGAGGGAAGGCACAGGCAGCUAAGGGAGGGCGAAGGGGGGAAUCUUGACGGAUCGGCGCCAGGCUGGUGCUGCGACGCCGCGUGGCGGAUGACUGUCUUAGGGUUGUAAAAUCCUUGCGCUAGGGACGAAGCAUUUUGUGACGGUACCUAGAUAAGAAGCACCGGCUAACUACGUG
rnacentral:rRNA from 1 species